AAGAUGUUCAGGAUACCAGUAUUCCAGUUCAUUGCAUUCAAAUAAGUGAAGUUAAACACGAGUUCAAACACCCGUGAUAAUUACUACACAUAACUGCAGGGAAAUGUCACAGAAACGAAAUAACCAGAUACCCAUCUAUAUAAUCAAUACCCUUCACGAUAUCACAACGAAACUUUGGUUACUCCAGAAAUCAAUAGAGCUCACCUUCCUUGUGUGUGUGGAUGACACAGUCAGCCUUCGGGUAGGAGACACAGGUCAGGACAUACCCCUUCUCCAUCUGAGGCUCAUCGAGAAAAGACCCAUCAGACUGAUCAACCGUGCCGGACUUUAUCUGACCAGCACAGGACGAGCAUGCCCCAGCACGGCACGAGUAAGGAAGCUCCAGUCCAGCAUUCUCAGCAGAGUCAAGGAUGUAGGAAUCAUCCGGGGCAUCGAAGACGUGCUCCUCACCAUCCGGCCCAAUGAGCUUCACCUUGUAGACAGUCAUUGCAGAUGUUCGGAAGCAGUUUCUUGCCUUCAGCACAAAAGCCUUUGAGAUGCUUUUCGAGGAACCAGGUAAACAAGGGCUCUUGAACAGCAUAGGGGAGGGGCGACUUUGAAUGGUGUUUCGGAUCAUGCAGGCGGUUGCAGUUGGGAUUGUAAGGCUCGACAUUGUGAGAUCUGGAAAGAGAUCUGGGAAUCCUCAGUGAAGGGGGAGCGGAGGUUCCAAAGAGUCAGCGAGCGAGCCCUAGAUGACCGGCAGUUUGGUGAUA
rnacentral:misc_RNA from 1 species